rnacentral:lncRNA from 10 species
UCUCAUCAUGGCCACUUAGCUUGCUCGAGAUUACACAGAACCAUGCCUCUGGUUUCCUGGUACAGUGCUCCGGCAGGUGACGGAUGCUCCUGGGUGACAUAUCACGGAUCUCUCUGAGGCCAGAGCUGGAAGUCAGCCACCUGGGCUUAGUCUUCACAGUCUUAGAAACAAAGUGUGUGACCUUCAGCAAAUCUAACCUUUGUACCACUUUUCUCCAUGGUCAAAUGAUGGUGAUAUCAUUUUCUUAAACUAUCUUAGUUGUUAAGAAUGAUCCUCUGUGACUGCACUAAAUAUUUUUUAAGUUGCA